rnacentral:rRNA from 1 species
KUWMMSURUGYUHUGUCAAUGGAAWGWSUGAAGUAUAAAUCCUUUCACGAGGAUCCAAUGGAGGGCAAGUCUGAUGCCAGCAGCCGCGGUAAUUUCAGCUCCAUUAGCGUAUACUAAAGUUGUUGCGGUUAAAACGUUCCUAGUCCAUUAUUGUCCGGUACGGGUGCUGCUCCACCAAGUGUGCGCGCWCGCAUUUCCGAUUAUUCGCGACUACUAAGGUCUGAACACAUUAAUGAACGGCGAUGGUGACUCUUCAYUGAGCYGCCGCGUCCGUUUAGUUCAGCUUAUUAUUACCUUGAACAAAUUAAGGUGCUCAAAGCAGGCUUCAUAUGCCUUGAAUAUUUUUGCAUGGAAUAAUGGAAAAGGACCUCGGUCUUAUUCGGCYCGCGCAAGCGRCGUCGAGGUUUCUAUUGGUUUGAUAUAGAUCAUGAGGUAAUGAUUAAUAGAAGCAGUCGGGGGCAUUAGUACUGCGGCGCGAGAGGUGAAAUUCUUAGACCGUCGCAUGACUAACUAAAGCGAAGGCAUUUGCCAAGGAUGUUUUCAUUGAUCAAGAACGAAAGUAGCAGGAUUGAAGACGAUUAGAUACCGUCCUAAUUGCUUUACUGUAAAAAAUGACAGCUAGCAAUUGGGUGUCGCUACUAUUAUGGCGCACUCAGUAGCUUCCGGGAAACCAAAGCUAGUUUCCGGGGGAAGUAUGGUUGCAAAGUUGAAACUUAAAGGAAUUGACGGAAGGGCACCACCAGGAGUGGAGCCUGCGGCUUAAUUUGACUCAACACGGGAAAWCYURCCAGDCGVCUWMYADVUAGDSKAWGAHAGMUHVYYWUCYCK